rnacentral:rRNA from 1 species
CAGCCGCGCGGUAAUACGAAGGGUGCAAGCGUUACUCGGAAUUACUGGGCGUAAAGCGUGCGUAGGUGGUGGUUUAAGUCCGUUGUGAAAGCCCUGGGCUCAACCUGGGAAUUGCAGUGGAUACUGGGUCACUAGAGUGUGGUAGAGGAUAGUGGAAUUUCCGGUGUAGCAGUGAAAUGCGUAGAGAUCGGAAGGAACAUCUGUGGCGAAGGCGACUAUCUGGGCCAACACUGACACUGAGGCACGAAAGCGUGGGGAGCAAACAGGAUUAGAUACCCCUGUAGUCCCUGUCUCUUAUACA